rnacentral:rRNA from 1 species
UACGGGGGGGGGCAAGCGUUGUUCGGAAUUACUGGGCGUAAAGGGUUCGUAGGUGGCUGGCUAAGUCAGACGUGAAAUCCCUCAGCUCAACUGGGGAACUGCGUCUGAGACUGGUCAGCUUGAGUGCAGGAGAGGAACGCGGAAUUCCAGGUGUAGCGGUGAAAUGCGUAGAUAUCUGGAGGAACACCGGUGGCGAAGGCGGCAUCCUGGACCGACACUGACGCUGAGGCGCGAAAGCCAGGGGAGCAAACGGG